AUACAAUUGCUGGCAGCUAUUUUAUACAUUUCUUUCAAAGACAUCUUUGUAAGUUUAUUAAUAUUUUUAUAUAGUUAUUUAUAAGGAACUCAGUUUUACAUUUUUAUCCUUACUUUUGUUCAGCAAGGAUGGACUACUUGUGGACAGUAUAAUGUACAAACAAGGUGACAGGUUGAAACCUUUGAGAGGGUCAUGUGAAAGAUAAUUUGAUAAAAUAUGCUUUGUAACUCUUUGAGUGGUUCUUUACAUUAAAAAGGCAUUUCUUAAACUCUGGUCUCAUGUCUGUCUUUAUGAGGUUCAUUAGGGUAUUAAAUUGUCAAUGUGUUAAUAGGAUAUUUUUUUUUAUAUAGCAUCAUGAUGAAUAUGUAUAUUUGGCUUUUAAAAGACAUUGCCAUAAGUAAUACUGAAGGAUUGUUUAGUUAGAUCGUACAUUUAAACACUUAACAAAGGAAUAAAUAUUUUAUAAUGUUAACCAGUCACCACUGUUGACAUAGAAAUUUUGUGUAUAUUUGAGGUACUGGACCCCUGUCUACUCUUAUCAGAGUUAAGCAUUAUAUACUAAUAUGCUGUUCAGUCAUGUCGGUUUAAUGUUCAUUCCAUCUAUACAAUCAAAAUUACUUAAAAAUAAUAUAUGUAAUAAUGUUAAGAUUUUAUAUUUUGUGUAUGUUUUUUUAAAGCUUGACUAUUAGAAGAAUAGGGAGAGCUAUUAAUUGUUCUCAUGUCUGCGGGUAGUUGUCAUACUUUGGUUAAGCUUUUGUGUGCAAGUUCGAAUCUCCAAAACAACUGAAGGGAAUGGGUUGAAAUUUCACACACUCAUUCUCUGUGAUUAUUAAACAUGAUGGGCACAGAUUCUAUAACUCUUAGUUACCUUUUAAGCUCACCUGAGCUAGCUCAGGGUGAACUUUUAGGAUCGAUGAAUGUCGGUCAUCCGUUCACAUUUGUUUGUUAACACUUUAGAGGUCACAGUUUUGCCUCAUUCAUCGUCAAACUUUGUCAGGAUGCUUGUCUAGGUAAUUGCUCGGAUGGGUUUUAACAUGGGUCAUCUCGGAUGAAAAACUAGGUCAUAGAAAAAUCUUGUUAACACUCUAGUGGCUACUGUAUUGAUCCAAAUAUCCUAGAAAUUGGUCUGAAAGUUUGUUUUGAUGAUUUCUAGGUCAAGUUCGAAUAUGGGUCACCUGGGGUCAGAAACUAGGUUACAAUACCCAGAUAUGAAAAAAACCUUGUUAGCACUCUUGUGGUCACAUUUUUGACUCAAUUGUCAUAAAACUUGGUCAGGAUGCGUGUCUAACUUCAAGUAAGGGACUGCUGAGUUUGAUGGGUCAGGACUGGUGAGCAAUCUAGGGCCAUCUUGGCCUUCUUAUUUACAGAGUUAUGCCCCUUUUUUACGGUUGAGUUCUGAGAAUAGUCAAUUACCUUCUCACCUCUUGUUUUCAGAUGCGCCCAUCCUGCCUUAGUGACUAUCUGUUUUAAUAACACCCUGUCUACCCAUCAACUUUACUUAUAGCAGAAAAUUAAAUACUCAUAUAUAAAAAAUCCAUUGUCCAUGAGUUUCAAAAUAAUUAAAAAUUAUCAGAACAGAUAUCAAAUUGCCAAGUAACAAUACUAUAUAUGACAUGUAUAUUGUAAAAGGGUCAACCAUUUUAAUGUUCUUGAAGAAAAUAAAAUGCACUUUUAGUUGUUAUAAAUAAAAUACAAUGUUUAGGAUAUUGGUCUAAAGUUUGAAUACUGCAUAUAUUGGUUGUUAAUACAAGUCACAGUCUUGGGAAAUGUUAUUUUAUUGAAGUUUUAUAUGCAGAUAGUGAGAUACUCUGUUUAAUAAGACAAUCUGUGUUUAUUAACUUUCGGUUGCUAUAGACAGGUUAAACUGUAUUAUUUUUAUGCCACCGCAGCAUCUGUGAUGCGGUGGCAUAUAGCGAUUCACCUGUGUGUGUGUUUGUUUGUGUGUGUGUGUGUGUGUGUUAUAUAGAUUAUAUAGUGAACUUAAAAAAUCUUCUUGUGAAAAACCACUAGUCCAAUUUCAACCAAACUUGGCAGGAUUGAUCCUUGGGUGAAGGCCUUCCAAAGUUGUUCAAAGAAUUUCAUUCCAUGCAGAAUUCUGGUUGUCAUGGCAACCAAAAGGAAUUAUAGGAAUAAAUUUAAAAAAUCUUCUUGUAAAGACCCAAAAGGCCUAGAGCUUAGAUAUUUUGCAUAAGGCAUUGUCUGGUAGACCUCUACCAAGAUUGUUCAAAUUAUAGCCCUGGGGUCCAAAUUGGCCCCGCCAAUAUGUACAUAUAGUAAAAACUUAAAAUACCUUCUUGUCUGAAGGUACCAGGCUUAGAGGUUUGAUAUUUGGUAUGUGUUAUUAUCUAUAGGUACUCUACCAAAGUUGUUCAAAUUUUGCCUCUAGUGUCAAAACUAGCCCUGCCCCGGGGUCAUAGGUUUUCCUCACAUGUAUAUAGUAAAAACUUUAAAAAAUCAUCUUCUCGAAUUGACAAAGGCUAGAGGUGAGACAUUUUGCAGUAAACAUUGUGUAGUGAACCUUUAGCAAGAUUAUUCAAAUUAAAGCCCUGGGGUCAAAAAGAAAAAUGUGUUCCUACAUUACUAUUUUAGUAUUGUAUUUAUGUGGUGGCAUAGCAUUUUUUACAAAUGCAAUCUUGUUUAUAUUUUUGUUCAUUUGAUAGUUAUUUAUUAUUCAAAUGGCUAUUAACAUUGGAAAGCAAGCCUUGAAUAUUAUGAUAAGAUAUUCAGGUCUACAUGCUUACUGUUUUGAUUAAUGUACCUCAUGCAUAUUGAAAUCAUUGUGAUUCUUUAUAUAUACCAGAUGAAUCAAACUUUUGUAUUUUUCUUAUUUCAUUAAAAUUUUAUCUAGUUUUAAUUACAUUUGUAUGUAAUUAUUCUUAUAAAUCAAUUUUCAGAAUGCUUGAUCACAAUUCAAUGUUUAUAAUUGAUGAUAUAAAUCAUAAUAAUAAAUAUAUAUUAUAAAUAUGAAUGUGUUUUAUGUUCCUUUAACAUCUAGAAGAGAUCAACAUUUUAUCUUCAGCUUCAGUCAUGAUUGUAAACUAAGACUAGUAACUUUCAGAUCCAGCAUGUUACAGUUAAUUUAUUUAGAAAUAGAUAUCAAUUUUCAGUGCAUAAUGUUGUAGAAUAAUGCAUGGUUCGAGUUCAAAUGUGCAGUCAUCGAAUUUAGCACUGGCCCAGUGGCCAAUGAAAAUUAGUUUGGUCAGUGAAAAUUUA